rnacentral:tmRNA from 1 species
GCCCUUGGCGGCAGGGCCGGUCUCGCCUAUAUUGGGACCGUCGGGGCGACCCGACUAUGAUCGUAGAGGCAGAGCGGAAUAGGCGUUCAGGACGCGGGUUCAAUUCCCGCCGCCUCCACCACGAGCGCAUCGGCACGGUGCGUUCCUGAGGGGGGCGACUUGGGUUCGACUGGGCGCGGUAAAGGCUAGGCUGCGAUUGGGCUGAGCUACGGCCCUGAUAGUGCAAAUCCACAAAUGCCAACGACAACGUUGACAUGGGUGAGGUUCGCCUCGCGGCGUAACCAUCCGGGGCUCGGGAAAGCCUAGCAACAGAAACGGCGCCUCA